ACGGGGGGAGCGAGCGUUGUUCGGAAUUACUGGGCGUAAAGGGCGUCUAGGCGGGCUUGUAAGUCAGGUGUGAAAUACCUCGGCUCAACCGGGGAACUGCACUUGAAACUGCAGGUCUUGAGUUCGGAAGGGGAAAGCGGAAUUCCUGGUGUAGCGGUGAAAUGCGUAGAUAUCAGGAAGAACACCGGUGGCGAAGGCGGCUUUCUGGUCCGAUACUGACGCUGAAGCGCGAAAGUGUGGGGAGCAAACAG
rnacentral:rRNA from 1 species